rnacentral:miRNA from 1 species
GAAUCACUUGAACCCAGGAGGUCGAGGCUGCAGUGAGCCAAGAUCGUGCCACUGCACUCCAGCCUGGGUGACAAAGUGAGACU